rnacentral:rRNA from 1 species
UACGUCGGGUGCAGGCGUUAAUCGGAAUUACUGGGCGUAAAGCGUGCGCAGGCGGUUUCUUAAGUCAGAUGUGAAAGCCCCGGGCUUAACCUGGGAACUGCGUUUGAAACUGGGAGACUUGAGUGUGGCAGAGGGGGGUGGAAUUCCACGUGUAGCAGUGAAAUGCGUAGAUAUGUGGAGGAACACCGAUGGCGAAGGCAGCCCCCUGGGAUAACACUGACGCUCAUGCACGAAAGCGUGGGGAGCAAACAGG